UACGUAGGGUGCGAGCGUUGUCCGGAAUUACUGGGCGUAAAGAGCUCGUAGGUGGUUUGUCGCGUUGUUCGUGAAAUCUCACGGCUUAACUGUGAGCGUGCGGGCGAUACGGGCAGACUAGAGUACUGCAGGGGAGACUGGAAUUCCUGGUGUAGCGGUGGAAUGCGCAGAUAUCAGGAGGAACACCGGUGGCGAAGGCGGUUCUCUGGGCCUUACCUGACGCUGAGGAGCGAAAGCGUGGGGAGCAAACAGG
rnacentral:rRNA from 1 species